GAGAAAGCCUCCCCCAUGGAAGAAACAGAUUGCUUAAUGCCGUGGGUGAGAUGUUGGAGAACAGCAAAUUAAUGAGGUUAAAAGGUGCCGCCCGGGUACUGUGGGAACCUCCUCCCACCCUGCAAGUGCUGUCCAAAGCUCUCCAGUGCCCCCUGCUGCUCUUUGCAGUUCCCCACUAAGCUCCCGUUGCCUCCCAGUAUUGUCCAGAGUCUCCUUGUGCAAACUCAGUGCCCCCCAGUGCUGCCUGGAGCCACCCCAGUGCUGUAUGCGGCCCUCAGUAGCCUCCCAGUGCCCCCCAGUGGACUUCCCAGUGCCUCCAGUAGUGCCCAGUGCCCCCAGUUCAACACACCCACUGCUCAGCACGUGACCGUCGCCUUCCCCAGGAACAAAACAAGGCAACAGAGACGUUGACAGCAGCGAUGGUGAUGGAGAUGUUCAGACUGGAGGAGCUCUUGGCUCGCUGCAGCCACCCCACCACAACAGCAUCCCCAGAGCUCCCUGCUGGCCCUGGAGGAGUCAGAGUGCUCUGUGCUGGAAGAAGAGGAGUCGAGGCUGCUGGAGACAUCUGGGCUCAGUGGCUCCGUGGCAGUGAUGCACUGCAUCAGCUCUUCCAUUUGGCAGCUGUUCGCAGUGUCUUUGGUCCCCUCUCUUGUGACACCGGGCAGGUCCUGGUUGUGCUGGGGGACCUCCAGAGCACUCGCCGCUUCUGAGAAAGCAAGAACAUCCCCCCGAACGAUGAUGGCAGUCUUCCCACACCCGCUCGGUGCAGGCACCCACCCGUCACCUCUGCAGACCACAGUCUCACCGUCAAUCCAGCUCUGCUGCCCCUCAGAGAGAGACUCACCGUUGUUGAUCCACGUGAGCAGGUCAUCAAUG